rnacentral:rRNA from 1 species
GAUGAACGCUGGCGGCGUGCUUAACACAUGCAAGUCGAACGAGAAGUGGAGACGGAAACCUUCGGGCGGAAGACUUUACUUCGAGUGGCGGACGGGUGAGUAACGCGUGGGUAACCUGCCUCAUACAGGGGGAUAACAGUUGGAAACGACUGUUAAUACCGCAUAAGACCACAGCACCGCAUGGUGCGGGGGUAAAAACUCCGGUGGUAUGAGAUGGACCCGCGUUCGAUUAGCCAGUUGGCGGGGUAACGGCCCACCAAAGCGACGAUCGAUAGCCGAUCUGAGAGGAUGACCGGCCACAUUGGGAAUGAGACACGGACCAAACUCCUACGGGAGGCAGCAGUGGGGAAUAUUGCACAAUGGGGGAAACCCUGAUGCAGCGACGCCGCGUGAGUGAAGAAGUAUUUCGGUAUGUAAAGCUCUAUCAGCAGGGAAGAAAAUGACAGUACCUGAGUAAGAAGCCCCGGCUAACUACGUG